GACGAACGCUGGCGGCGUGCUUAACACAUGCAAGUCGAACGGAAAGGCCCUGCUUUUGUGGGGUGCUCGAGUGGCAAACGGGUGAGUAACACGUGAGUAACCUGCCCUUGACUUUGGGAUAACUUCAGGAAACUGGGGCUAAUACCGGAUAGGAGCUCCUGCUGCAUGGUGGGGGUUGGAAAGUUUCGGCGGUUGGGGAUGGACUCGCGGCUUAUCAGCUUGUUGGUGGGGUAGUGGAUUACCAAGGCUUUGACGGGUAGCCGGCCUGAGAGGGUGACCGGCCACAUUGGGACUGAGAUACGGCCCAGACUCCUACGGGAGGCAGCAGUGGGGAAUAUUGCACAAUGGGCGGAAGCCUGAUGAAGCAACGCCGCGUGCGGGAUGACGGCCUUCGGGUUGUAAACCGCUUUCGCCUGUGACGAAGCGUGAGUGACGGUAAUGGGUAAAGAAGCACCGGCUAACUACGUG
rnacentral:rRNA from 1 species